UGGCGGCACUCGCGCCUAAAAUCCCACGACCGUAACCGGAAUCGCAUCAGGACCCCAACGGACCGGUAUAUCAUGUAUGUGUAUGUUUGUUAGAUCAAACUAGGAUCGACCGAGUUAUCGAAAAAACAGUUUAUAGGUCGGCGGGUAUUCAUCAGUUGAUACACUCGACUACUGUUGUGAUUAUAUUGAAUAAAAUAUGUUCAGAUACACUGCGGAAGAUCGCCCAGAAGUAUUUGUCGACAGUGGGCUGAACUAUUGUACUCGCAAUGUAAAAUUUGGAUCUAAUAAUCACAUAAGCGAAGAUUUACACAACGUCAAUAAAAGUGUGUUGUAGUGGCGUUGCUUUAAAGGUGUUACAAUCAUUUAGAAACUACAUGCGUAGUAAUUACUAUUGACACACAAAAUUAUUGUGUACGUUUUAAAACAACUCACUAAAUAACUAUUUUAACACGAGUAAAGUUGUUGUGGUGGGAACAAUUAUUGCGUUUCAAAAAGUUAGUAUUAAAAACCAAAUUAAAAAUGUGUCCACUCUGUUUAUGUUUAAAUGUGUCUAUGUCGCUCAUUCAGGUGUUUAUUUUGCUGACUCAAAGUUAUUCAAAAUUCGUGUAAGCUUUAUUUUUCAUAUUAUAUAAGCAUAUGGUGUACUGGCAUCAGUUUAGGUAGCAUAUACUUACUGAAGAUGCACAUUUACAGUGUGAUGAGCCAAAGAUAAGACUUAAGUUUUACAAUUAGUAAUACAACACGUUGUAGACUACUCAUAGUACAAUGAAUGAAACCUGCAUAAAUAACUAUGGUAGACACGAAUGGAACCAUAUUCAAGGUAACAAGCGAAAAAUAAGCAAGUAAUUACGAAAAAAUAUAAAAAAAACAUAAUAUGUUAAUACGCUAAACUAUUAAGGAUGAAUAUUAUAAUAAAAUAAUCUUCUUUAAUUUUAUCAUUCAAGAGUAUUUUAAUAACAAAAAUAAAACAUUUAUUGAUAUUGCUUCAAGGACAACCAUUUUCUUUCAUAAUAUGUUUAUUAUUAGCGUGAUCAUGUUUUAUUAAUUUAUUGUUGUUUUAAAAAUAUAAUCUAUUAAGAUUAGGAAACAUUGUCUGAAACUUAAAUUAAAAAUAAAUAAUUUAUUUUUUUAAUUUAAGCAAGCAAUUGAUCACUAUUUUUACAAAGGUUGAUAAGCACAAGGUAGUUUUUAAAUUUAUUUCUCUAAUUUGAUUGUGUCAUGCAUUAAUAAAAAAAUUAUUCACAAUUUUUUUACCAAUUAAAAUAAAAUUUAAUAAAUGAAUAAUACAUUUUUAAAUAAAUUAAACGUGUUAAUUUAUUAUUGUUGCUAUACUGAUUAGAUAAAUUUAAACAGAUUCAGAAUUAACCAUGUUAAGAAUAAUUAUACAUCAAUUACGUUGUCUAAGCAUAAGACUUUUUUUAUGUUUAGAAAAAUUGUUCAACAAAAAUUAAAUAACGAUUAUUUUGUAGUCCAAAGUCGGGUUCAAAGACUAGUGUUUUCUCACUCAAGUAAUCUAUCUGAUUUAAAUACUGUUUUUGAAAAGCCAUAACGAGUAACGGUGAUGGGGAAAAAUGACAAAGUGACGAAUUUCAAUGACAAAUACCUGUUGGCAAGCCAAAUAGAAAAUCCGUUCAAUGAAAAAUCCGCGAACCGUGUAAAUUUAAUUAUAUCGUCAGAGCAACGUAUAUUAAUAUUUUCGGUAUUAUGUUCACUAUGAAAUAUUUAAUAAUGUACAAUACCAUCGUGUACUGGUACAAGAUUCGUUUGCUAUUAACUUCGCUUUCAGCCUUUGUAUAAAACCAAAUGGUCUAAACGCUCGUUUCAGACUUCGAUUCACACCAAAAGUUGCAUCUAAUCUCAUUAUCCUUUUGAACUUGACUACCGUGCCGGAUACUGAAAAAUUGAUUUUUAUUGGCACGUGCUCACGUUAUAAGUGCGUUUACUAGUAACUAAUUACGUUAUGUUUCUUAAAGUCGCCAGUAAUUAAAGUUUAAUAAUAAUCAUUGUACACUUUUAGGUUUUAAACGCGUUAGUGAUUCGUUUGUAUUCAUAAUAAUUAUUAUUUAUACAAUGUGCUAAUAAGAUAAAUAGUAAAGAUGAUGUUCACUUCAAUUCAAAGGAUUCACGUUAACCAAAUCAAAGUUUGAUGUUUCAACUAUAUUUUUAUUACGAUCUGAAAUAGUAUUGUAAUCAUAGUAAUGCAGUAUUUCUCAAAGUUAUUUCAAAUGAAUGACAACGAGCUUCAUCUAUAGCCUUUGAUAACCUCUCGAAAGGAGAAAACAGAAAUAAGUCUAUUGUGAAACGUCUGAAGAUUUACAUAAAAUUUGACUCGACAUAAUAAUAGCUUUUGAAUUAUUCUUCGUCAUCGUUGUCUAUAUUAAAAAAUAUUUCAUUUCAAAAGAAAACUGACAUUUACUUAUUAUUUUUUUUACUUAUCCAUAAAAUACAUCUAGUACGUAUUACUUUCUUUAAUAUACAACAAUAAUUUUCAUUGUCGAUCAAGAAAAGAGAUACGCCAUGGAAACACAAGACUUUUCGUUCCCCCAACGAACCCGAAGCAUUAUUAUUUUUUCAAUCCACUCGUGAUUUCUAAUUGUUUUCCGGUAGGAAAAUAUAAAAAACAACCUAAAUGACCACUUUACUUAUUGAUAAUAAUAAUAAUGACUUCAUCGCUUUAUAAUCGAUGACCGCAAACUUUCCCCAUAAAAAAACGGAAGGCGACCCCAUUACAAGAUACCAUUUUUUGCGCUUCAGCACCCUCCACAAAGUGGACUCUGGCGAUCUAAAAGUCACCCCCGUCAUACGCCCGGACAAUUCGAUAUUUAUGACCUGGAAGACCACAAAACGCCGUAAACGUGCCCUGCAAAAUUCGAUUCACAAUGUUAACACAUAAAUUUCAUGACGUGCAAUAAUUAUUGUCACUUGAAUUAUGACCACAUACGCCGUAACUGCUCUCUGGACGGACAUUUAUCUCCGGAAUUGUACACUCGGCCAGUAGCUAUUCAACUGGGUCGUUUACUAAUGCAUCGUCUAAUUUAAUCUAUUGGAAUUACCGCGUGGGGCGUAGAAAAAUAGGAAGGGUUCUUUAUUUGUAUGAGUGGUAUAUUAUAUUGCAAUAGUUGUCGACUGAUCAUAUAAAUUAUCAUGUACUCUGGCGUAAGUUAAUUUUUGAAUCAUUGGCAUAAAUAUAACAGUGAGUCAAGAUAAUUAAAUUGUAUUGAAGUAAUAAUUUUUCUAUAUAUGGUGGACAAAAGUCAUCGCAUUUGAUUUAUUAGGCACAUUAACAUUUAAUUUAAUAGAAAAAGUGGCUAAAGUAAUUAAUAUGGUAACUACCACAAUAUCUAUUUGUUUAAUAAGAUAUUUAUGUAAUCUAGACAACAACAUCCAACUAUUUCAACUUCGCAAAGGAAACUUUUGAUGUAAAUAAUGAAAUUUUAUCGAAAUUUCUUUUAACCAGACAAUUCAAAUUUAUAUUGAAGGUCUCAUGGGUACGAUGCCAAUAUAAAAUAAAUUAUGCUGUUAGCAGUUCAAAGGGAAACUACUGAAUACUCUGUGCUAAUUAGCCCUUUGGGCAUUAAUUGGAGGAAAUACUAUUACAAGAAAACAAUAAAUAGAAACAAUGGGGAAAAAAUGUACCAGACACUAAGUACUCCAUUAAUUUUUGUUAUAUUUAGUGUUUUCCUUUUCCGUUGAAUAAAUUUGGUGGUAUAAAAAAAAGUCAUUUUUAUAAAGAACUCAUCAAAAUUAGAGGUUAAUGAGAGGGAUGAGCUUUUAUUUAAUACGCGUAAUAAAAUGUUUGAUAAUAUGAAAUACUUAAUUUUUUUUCUUAAAAUUAAAAAAGGGGCUUAUAAGCUCUUGGUUGUUAGCCUUAAUUUGAAUUUCUUAAUUCUUUCUACCAGUCCCUAAAUUAAUUCAAAAGUAUUAAAAAAAGUACUUUAAAAAUAUUAAUGUCCUGUGUACAGUUCAAAGUUAAAAUUACUUUAAAAACAAGAAUUAAAAAAAAAAAAUAGUUUUUUUUACAAUCACGUCGAGAAAAAAUUCUUAGACCAUGUAACGUAUUAAAAUUGUGAUGUGUAUGUUACAAGUUACUAUAUUCAAAUAGUGCACGUGGUACAUCUUUAGAUUCAAUGUUACACUCAUAUAUUUAUUUAUUAGAUUAAUAAAUUGUACCUACUACCUGUUAUCUUUAUUCUAAAUAAUAAAUUAUUAUAAUUCUCAAUGAUUAAACACCUCUUUAAUCACCCUGUCCUCCACCCUCUCCUAUGUGAUAUCAAUCCGUCUUAGAAAACAUCACGAAUAUGUUCAAAAAAGAAUUAUUUUGAUUACAUCAUCAUUUGAAAAAAAUU